rnacentral:rRNA from 1 species
GAUGAACGCUGGCGGCGUGCCUAAUACAUGCAAGUCGAGCGAACGGACGAGAAGCUUGCUUCUCUGAUGUUAGCGGCGGACGGGUGAGUAACACGUGGAUAACCUACCUAUAAGACUGGGAUAACUUCGGGAAACCGUAGCUAAUACCGGAUAAUAUUUUGAACCGCAUGGUUCAAAAGUGAAAGACGGUCUUGCUGUCACUUAUAGAUGGAUCCGCGCUGCAUUAGCUAGUUGGUAAGGUAACGGCUUACCAAGGCAACGAUGCAUAGCCGACCUGAGAGGGUGAUCGGCCACACUGGAGCUGAGACACGGUCCAGACUCCUACGGGAGGCAGCAGUAGGGAAUCUUCCGCAAUGUGCGAAAGCCUGACGGAGCAACGCCGCGUGAGUGAUGAAGGUCUUCGGAUCGUAAAACUCUGUUAUUAGGGAAGAACAUAUGUGUAAGUAACUGUGCACAUCUUGACGGUACCUAAUCAGAAAGCCACGGCUAACUACGUG